UUGGAGGGCAAGUCUGGUGCCAGCAGCCGCGGUAAUUCCAGCUCCAAUAGCGUAUAUUAAAGUUGUUGCAGUUAAAAAGCUCGUAGUUGAAUUUCGGAAUCAGUGCGCUGGUCGUGCCUCUGGUAUGCACUGGUGCUACUGAUUUCUCCCUUCUGAAGAACUAUCAUGCCAUUAAUUUGGUGUGGUAGGGAAUCAGGACUGUUACUUUGAAAAAAUUAGAGUGUUUAAAGCAGGCUCACGCUUGAAUACAUUAGCAUGGAAUAAUGAAAUAGGACGUUGAUCUUAUUUUGUUGGUUUCUAGGAUUGACGUAAUGAUUAAUAGGGAUAGUUGGGGGCAUUAGUAUUCAAUUGUCAGAGGUGAAAUUCUUGGAUUUAUUGAAGACUAACUACUACGAAAGCAUUUGCCAAGGAUGUUUUCAUUAAUCAAGAACGAAAGUUAGGGGAUCGAAGACGAUCAGAUACCGUCGUAGUCUUAACCAUAAACUAUGCCGACUAGGGAUCGGAUGAUGUUAAUUUUUUAAUGACUCAUUCGGCGCCUUACGGGAAAC
rnacentral:rRNA from 1 species